UUUUUUAAAUGUGGGUAAGAAAUAAACACUUCUAAAUCUAUAAAUGCUGUUUUUGCAACCAGAUAACACCUGUGAAAUGAUUUACAAGGCAUCUUACAGAUGUUACACACC